UUUCACUGCGUUGUCACGUGACUGGUAGCGGGUAGCCGUACCAUGAAACCGUCAGUGUCUCAUUAAAACAGCUAGGGCUCACCAAGUGUAGGAGAUGUUAUACAGUAUCUGCCGCAGGCCAGGUUCCUGUUCCAUGUCUGUUGGUUUGCUGACCAAGCUGACAUCGAGCUAAUGCUACUCCAAACCAGGAGAUCUGUUGAAUCCUGACAACUCCUUCCAGUGCGCAUGCUUCCCAUUGUGCCACGCCGACACACGUAUAAACUUCCUCUGCUUCAAUUUGUGCCAAUCUGACUUUGGAAAAAGGGGAAAAUGUGUUCUUUCUCCACGGUGAUCUGUCUUCAAAGUGGGCCUACACAUGCCGAGGAGGGUGGCAGCGAGGUGAUAAGUGUUGGGGAUGUUGUAAAUUUGAAUACAAUGACAUAAACUAAAGCUGGUUGUCAUGCUCGGCAGUUCUGCUCUGGCGGGCCUUUCCUUUCUGUCUAAAGCUUCUCGACACAGUUCCGGAUUUGCCAAAUCCUCAGACGACGAAACGAACCCUGUCGCUUCAUUGUGUGAGCAUCGAACGCCCUUCCACCCACCUUCUCCCCCUCAUCCAUCCUCCCACUGGUCUUCUUCUCUCUCUCCUUUGCUACAGAGAUGGGGGGCGACAGGCAGGAAGUUGGUUUUCAGUUUGAGGCUGUAAGCAUCGGGGAUUGGUUUCAAUUUAAUGCCCCAAUGUGAAGAAGAAAGAAUCAAUUUAAAGUAGCUGAGUCCCCUGGGUCUCCUGGUUGAGCGAGCAGUAGAAAUGACAAAGACAGACGGAAUAGAGAGAUACAAAUCACAGACAAAGAAACUGAGAAAUUAUUAUAGCAA